rnacentral:rRNA from 1 species
GACGAACGCUGGCGGCGUGCCUAAUACAUGCAAGUCGAACGCAGUGGGGACGGUUGAGUAACACGUGGGUAACCUCCCAUCAGAGGGGAUAACACUUGGAAACAGGUGCUAAACCGAUACUGAUGGAUGAACCCACGGUGCAUUAGCUAGUUGGUGAGGGAACGGCUCACCAAGGCCACGAUGCAUAGCCGACCUGAGAGGGUGAUCGGCCACACUGGGACUGAGAAACGGCACAGCCUCCUACGGGAGGCAGCAGUGGGGAAGAUUCUGCAAUGGGCGAAAGUCUGACCGAGCAACGCCGCGUGAGUGAAGAAGGUUUUCGGAUCGUAAAGCUCUGUUGUUAGAGAGGCGGUAUCUAACCAGAAAGCAACGGCUAACUACGUGCCAGCAGCCGCGGUAAUAC